AUUGGGUUCAGGUAGACCUUAAAAGACUUGGCUAAGAUUCCUCAUUCAUGGCAUUUGGAUAGUUUGUCUGCUCCAUUUACUGGGAUUUGUUAUCAACUUACCAACAAGUGACCUGUAGAUGCUGCACAAUUCAGAUUUGGAUUUAUUAUUUGUUUGAUUUGAUUUUAUGCUUCUUCUGAUGGGAGUUGAGCUGCAGUCUCAG
rnacentral:misc_RNA from 1 species